rnacentral:rRNA from 2 species
GCCCUUCGGGGUACACGAGCGGCGAACGGGUGAGUAACACGUGAGCAACCUGCCCCCGACUCCGGGAUAAGCGGUGGAAACGCCGUCUAAUACCGGAUACGACACACCGCCUCAUGGCGGUGUGUGGAAAGUUUUUCGGUCGGGGAUGGGCUCGCGGCCUAUCAGCUUGUUGGUGGGGUAACGGCCUACCAAGGCGAUUACGGGUAGCCGGCCUGAGAGGGCGACCGGCCACACUGGGACUGAGACACGGCCCAGACUCCUGCGGGAGGCAGCAGUGGGGAAUAUUGCGCAAUGGGCGAAAGCCUGACGCAGCGACGCCGCGUGGGGGAUGACGGCCUUCGGGUUGUAAACCUCUUUUACCACCAACGCAGGCUCCCAGUUCUCUGGGGGUUGACGGUAGGUGGGGAAUAAGGACCGGCUAACUACGUGCCAGCAGCCGCGGUAAUACGUAGGGUCCGAGCGUUGUCCGGAAUUAUUGGGCGUAAAGAGCUCGUAGGCGGCGUGUCGCGUCUGCUGUGAAAGACCGGGGCUUAACUCCGGUUCUGCAGUGGAUACGGGCAUGCUAGAGGUAGGUAGGGGAGACUGGAAUUCCUGGUGUAGCGGUGAAAUGCGCAGAUAUCAGGAGGAACACCGGUGGCGAAGGCGGGUCUCUGGGCCUUACCUGACGCUGAGGAGCGAAAGCAUGGGGAGCGAACAGGAU